rnacentral:rRNA from 1 species
GACGAACGCUGGCGGCGUGCUUAACACAUGCAAGUCGAACGGAAAGGCCCUGCUUUUGUGGGGUGCUCGAGUGGCGAACGGGUGAGUAACACGUGAGUAACCUGCCCUUGACUUUGGGAUAACUUCAGGGAACUGGGGCUAAUACCGGAUAGGAGCUCCUGCUGCAUGGUGGGGGUUGGAAAGUUUCGGCGGUUGGGGAUGGACUCGCGGCUUAUCAGCUUGUUGGUGGGGUAGUGGCUUACCAAGGCUUUGACGGGUAGCCGGCCUGAGAGGGUGACCGGCCACAUUGGGACUGAGAUACGGCCCAGACUCCUACGGGAGGCAGCAGUGGGGAAUAUUGCACAAUGGGCGGAAGCCUGAUGCAGCAACGCCGCGUGCGGGAUGACGGCCUUCGGGUUGUAAACCGCUUUCGCCUGUGACGAAGCGUGAGUGACGGUAAUGGGUAAAGAAGCACCGGCUAACUACG